rnacentral:lncRNA from 1 species
CGAGGCCACGCUGAGCCACUUCUUCCUAACAGCGCAUGUGGGACCCGAGGAAAAUGUCCUUGCACGUUUGGAGGCGAAAGAGAGAAGUAUUCUACUGGAAGUCCGGUGCUUCUCGUGAGGCACAGUCAUUGAGGCAGAAGGGACAAGUGUUCAUUUAUGUCCCCAUGCAAAGUUAGUGAGGAGGAACAACCCACCUUUUCCCCACUUAGAAUCGUUCCC